CCUAUCAGAAUCUGUUAUAUCAAACGGGUUGCUGAGCAAGGGUUUCAAGCUAUUGAAGUUAAGAACUUGGUGUUGGUCGGGGUUGUGCUAUUGCUAUGCGAGCUCGGCCUAGGUACAUUCAAGCAUUGAUGGACAAAGCAAAAGUGCAUGAGUGAGAACCUGAGAUAAUAUUUAUCUUUUUGGUUUUA